GCAAGGUGGAGAAGUCUUGUUUAUGCCUCCUUGAAUAUCAAAUCCGGUCGUUAUAUGCAGUUGCCUGAGCAAUUUCACCCGGUUGCCUCAGUAGCGCAACGCAAUGAAGCUGGACGGGAAGUGACGCUGGUUGAGUACCUGUCUGGUGUUGUGCAUAGAUUCCAAUGUUUUUAAAAUAACUUUGUACACAGUACGGCAUCCGAGCAUCCAAUGCAGGAAAUUAUAUAACAAAUACUUCAAAUACUUUAAGAGGAAGUAGAAGUGAUCUUUCCACGUAUAUAUCAUCAAACACCCACUACACAUGAACUCCUAUUAUGGUCAUCAACACAAUCGGUUGUAUUUUCAGAUUUUGAAGUAAUCACUGGAACCCCAUUUUAAUCAAUGCACACAUUGCGCAAGGUGCAUGUUCACGUUUAGUGUGAUUUGCGGGCCACAGGCUUUAGUACUAGUACAUCUAAGGCAGAUAAUAAUUUGAAUGGUGAUCUUAUUAAUGCUUCCAUGUACGCAGUGCUAUGUCAAACAUGCAGCUCUGAAUAUGAAGAGUUUGUUUCGUUCAAAUCGGCUAGUAAACCAGAAAUAGCCAAGGCAUUUACUUAUGUCGAAGGCUGUUAUGAUUUAUAUUACACCUUGCAGCCUGGAAAUCUUUGUUUGAGUGCAGAAUCUUUGAAGAAAAAAAACAGAAAGGGGCGCGCCUAACAAACAAAUCACCACAUAUGUAUGUAUAAGAGCAAGUACCAAAUUUCACACUGUUCUACUAAUUGCUGGGUUCCCACAAUCCCACUGGCGCUUCAGGUGUAAUAUAAGCUAUGGUUUUGAGCUUUGGCUUUGUAUGCUUGCAGUCAAAGUGGCCGUCAAUUUCCGGUAAAAUUAACCGAACCGCUGAUUGCCAUUUUAUAUAUUGGAGAAGAUAUAAAACACAUGGAAGAGCUUCACAAAGCUAUACACGUUAAAGCAGUGAUCGAAGCUCCUGCAAAUGAACAACAUCGAAUUGGGCUACAAAGGCUUGGACAUCAAUUAGGCAGUUUGCCUACACCUUUCUGCGUAUGUGUUUGUGCAAUAAUUGAGCCGUUCAGUGCACACAUCGAUUAACUCCACUUUUUGAAAAGUCUUAGUACAUAAUACUUAUAACAUUAUUUAUUUGAUUUUAUUAUAUGAAUGGAAUUUUAAGAAAUAAUGUACAUUAUUUGAUCGCACCUCCCAACUUUUUUUGGUGGAGUUUAUCAAUUUGUGCACUGAACGACUCAAUUAUAGAAUGUCAUGCGUUCCCAUGUAAAUUAAUUAUUAAGGAAUAUUGCGAACCAUUGCAAUAGUUGAGAUAUCGUUAUAAUAAACGAUUGUAGGAUAUACAUAUAUUUAUAUUUAAGUUUAUUUUUAGGUAAAAGUAUUUUAAUGUUUUAAUGUUAUUUUUUCAAAUAUUCUAGAUAAAAAUUUAAAAGUUCGAUAAUGUUUUAGUGCUAAUAAAUAUUUGACCAUAGCUGUAAUUUCGGCAACAAAAUUAAAAAUGUUUCUUUUUGUAAAGACCAUUUUCAUAUCUUUGUUAAAAAUUU